UACGUAGGAGGCGAGCGUUGUCCGGAAUUACUGGGCGUAAAGCGCGCGUAGGCGGCGCGAUACGAGCGGUGUGAAAGCCCCCGGCUCAACUGGAGGGGGUCACUGGUAACGGUCGUGCUAAGAGUGCAGGAGAGGGACGUGGAACUCCGGGAGUAGCGGUGAAAUGCGUAGAGACCCGGAGGAACACCAGUGGCGAAGGCGGCGACCUGGGCCAAUAUUGACGCUGAGGUGCGAAAGCGUGGGGAGCAAACAGG
rnacentral:rRNA from 1 species